AUUGAACGCUGGCGGCAGGCCUAACACAUGCAAGUCGAGCGGAUGAAGGGAGCUUGCUCCUGGAUUCAGCGGCGGACGGGUGAGUAAUGCCUAGGAAUCUGCCUGGUAGUGGGGGAUAACGUCCGGAAACGGGCGCUAAUACCGCAUACGUCCUGAGGGAGAAAGUGGGGGAUCUUCGGACCUCACGCUAUCAGAUGAGCCUAGGUCGGAUUAGCUAGUUGGUGGGGUAAAGGCCUACCAAGGCGACGAUCCGUAACUGGUCUGAGAGGAUGAUCAGUCACACUGGAACUGAGACACGGUCCAGAAUCCUACGGGAGGCAGCAGUGGGGAAUAUGGGACAAUGGGCGAAAGCCUGAUCCAGCCAUGCCGCGUGGGUGAAGAAGGUCUGCGGAUUGUAAAGCACUUUAAGUUGGGAGGAAGGGCAGUAAGUUAAUACCUUGCUGUUUUGACGUGACCAACAGAAUAAGCACCGGCUAACUUCGU
rnacentral:rRNA from 1 species